AUUGAACGCUGGCGGCAUGCCUUACACAUGCAAGUCGAACGGUAACAGGUCUUCGGAUGCUGACGAGUGGCGAACGGGUGAGUAAUACAUCGGAACGUGCCCGAGAGUGGGGGAUAACGAAGCGAAAGCUUUGCUAAUACCGCAUACGAUCUCAGGAUGAAAGCAGGGGACCGCAAGGCCUUGCGCUCACGGAGCGGCCGAUGGCAGAUUAGGUAGUUGGUGGGAUAAAAGCUUACCAAGCCGACGAUCUGUAGCUGGUCUGAGAGGACGACCAGCCACACUGGGACUGAGACACGGCCCAGACUCCUACGGGAGGCAGCAGUGGGGGAAUUUUGGACAAUGGGCGCAAGCCUGAUCCAGCCAUGCCGCGUGCAGGAUGAAGGCCUUCGGGUCGUAAAGCUCUUUGUAUCAGGGAUGAUAAUGACAGUACCUGAAAAACAAGCCACGGCUAACUAACGUGCCAGCA
rnacentral:rRNA from 1 species